GUCUAUGGCCAUGCUAUCUUGAACAAGCCAGAUGUCUGAUCUCAAAAACUAAGCAGGGUCGGGCCUGGUUAGUACUUGGAUGGGAGACCACCAAGAAGACCAGGUAUUGUAGGCA
rnacentral:rRNA from 1 species